rnacentral:rRNA from 1 species
UACGGAGGGUGCGAGCGUUUGUUCGGAUUCAUUGGGCGUAAAGGGUGCGUAGGCGGCGUGGUAAGUCGGAUGUGAAAUCUCGGAGCUUAACUCCGAAACUGCAUUCGAUACUGCCGUGCUUGAGGACUGGAGAGGAGACUGGAAUUUACGGUGUAGCGGUGAAAUGCGUAGAUAUCGUAAGGAAGACCAGUGGCGAAGGCGGGUCUCUGGACAGUUCCUGACGCUGAGGCACGAAGGCCAGGGGAGCAAACGGG